rnacentral:miRNA from 1 species
AACUAAGUUUGUUAUCGGUAUGAGCUUUCGUGUGCAUGCACACUUCUUCAGAUACACAGGUAUCUGCAGAAUACCUGGGUAUGUGAAGAAAUGCACAUGCACACGAAAGCUCAUACUGAUAACUAACUUAGUUGG